AGCGAACGCUGGCGGCAGGCCUAACACAUGCAAGUCGAACGAACCUUUCGGGGUUAGUUGCGGUCGUGUGAUUAACACGUGGGAACGUGCCUUUAGGUACGGAGCAACUCAGGUAAACAUGUGCUAAUACCGCAUGUGCCCUUCGGGGGAAUGAGUUAUCGCCGUUUGAGCGGCCCGGGUCUGAUUAGCUGGUUGGUUGAGGUAAUGGCGCGCCAAGGCGACGUUGUGUAGCUGUUCUGUGAGGAUGAUUAGCCACAUUGGGACUGAGACACGGCCCAAUCUCCUAGGGGAGGCAGCAGUGGGGUAUAUUACGCAAUGGGCGAAGGCCUGACGAAGCCAUGCCGCGUGAAUGAUGCAGGUCUUAGUAUUGUAAAAUUCUUUGACCGGGAACGAUAGUGACGGUACCCGGAGAAGAAGCACCGGCUAACUUCGUG
rnacentral:rRNA from 1 species